GGGGGGAAGAUUACAGUUAAAGGAUUAAUGUUCAAACUCUAGUAAAUAAAAGAGAAAAAUAUUAGUAUAAAAAAUUAAUUUCUACCAUUUACCUAUAAAAUGAAUAGUUUAGAUUUUUCUCUUUCCGAAAAUUCAAUAAGCACAUACUAAUAUUUAUUCUUUUAAGUACCAAGAUCUUGUCAUACAAAAAAGUAUACACUUGGAAAAAAAAUAAUCAUUUUUCAUCUUCCUUGUCGACUUCCUCGCAGCGACACAAAAACAUACGACACUUCCGAACACGAGGAUGGCUACAUUUCAGCUCUCGACAAUCAUCGUCAUUAAAGCAGUACAUAGGAUCUGAAUUAAAAUAAAAAUAAAAGAAUGUUACUAAAAGGAACGAGUGAUUGUGUAUAAUAAUAAUAUGAUAAAUAUGAAAGUUUGAAAUGUCUGAGAACAAGGACUUACCUGCGUUGGCUACCGAAAGAAUUAGAGAAAUGAAGAUGAUCAAAGCAUAAAAGAAUUUGAAAAUUUCAGCCAUAUUUUUU
rnacentral:lncRNA from 1 species